AACCUAGCACACCUGCGGUGUGUACCUGCGGAGGGAUCAUUAUUGAAUAAACUGCCUUGAUGGGCUGUUGCUGGCCUUUGGAGGCAUGUGCACGCCUAUCUUGACUCUAUUCAUCCACCUGUGCACCUUGUGUAGUUCUUUGGUUUUCUUGGAUUUGAGGAUUGCCCUGUCAUAUUUGGCUUGGGCUUUUCUUUUUGGUCUUACUCAGAAAGCGUAAAGAGCUAUGUCUUUUUAUCACAA
rnacentral:misc_RNA from 1 species